UCCUCCUCCUCCUCCACUAGGGCCUCCUUCUCCUCUUCGUCCUCAUCCUACUUUUGGCUUCCCCUGGACUUCUUAGCUUGUCCCUCAAGUUGCUCCCUCACUCGCUCUUGGGCACACCUCCAGCCUUUGCAUCCUUUCCCUUUUUGCUCUUUCCUCCCCAGCUUCUUGCUCACUCUCCCUACCUUCAAGGCUUCAGCUUCCUCUCACUGGCCCUUCCCAACUACCAAUGUCCACCACCUACAACAAGUCUCCACUUUUUCCCACCUUCCCUUGGCUUUCAGGAGAAAAUCUUAUGCCCUCACACAUACACACACACACACACACACACACACACACACACACACAGAAACCCAGACAAGGGCACAUGCAAAUAUGUGCACAGGCACACCCAUAUACACAUAUACUGGCACACCCACAGAGAUGCACAUGGCCCCAUUAGGAGACCCUGGCACUCAAGGCCAGCCCUCCACUUUGUCUUGGCACUCAUUGGCCCUCAGAAGGAUACCCUGAGCUGCAUUCCCGCGUGACCCCUGUCCCCAUUUCUGCAGGGCCCAGUGGAACCUCCUCGGCUGCCAAUGGCAUUUCCGGAAAUCCCAACGAAGGUAAUUCUGGAGCCAAGAGCUUACACCCCUACUUCUCCGGGCCCUCCUCAGGGUCACCCGUGUCAACCCAUUGCUCCAAACAAAGUGCUCCAAACACACAGGCACGCUCCGUAGGCACCUGCAUCUUUGCAGGCAAGGCUAGAGCUCCCUGCCAUGCAAGAUACCCAACAAUUUUCCCCAGCCACCUUUUCCCCCACUCAUUUUGCCCAUCCAAUGGGCCUUACCUAAACACUGGGUUCCCCACGUGGCCAUUUCCCAGGACCAGUCACAUCCACAGGAGCCAGUGGGACAGGCAGAGCUGAAACCAGCACAAAGGGGAGAUCGCCAGCUGUGAGCAGUAGCUCCAGUGGAGCCAGCCAAGGUCAGUUGCCUUGGGGGACUCUUCUACCACCUGCAUGACACUCCUGCACACUCCACUUCUUGCUCAUGGCUGGCCCACUGAGAGACACUCCCAAUUGCCACUGGCUUCCAACUUCUCCGGCCAUGGGCCAUUCAUUCUCGCCUCUCUUUCUUCCUAUCAGGUGCUACUCCCCAAGCAACAGGCAGCACCAUCAGCCGAAGCAGCGAAGGAGCCAGUGGGCUCAACUCAGCUCAAACCACCACCCAGGGAAGAUCCACAGCCAUUGGUGCCAGCUCCAGGGGAGCCACUCAAGGAGACACCCAACAAGGAGCAGAGACCACAGUCACCAGGAGCAGAGAAGAAACCAUCAGCACCACAGGAGCCAGCGGCACAAAGGGCGCUGAAAUCACCCCCAAGGGAAGACCCACCACAGCACAAGGCACCAACUCCAAUGGGGCCAGUCAAGGUGAGUGGAGGAACAAAGACCUGCUGGCUCCUGCACUUCUUCCAGGGGAUGCUCCAAUCCUUGACAGAGUCCAGUGGCCUAGCAGAGCUGCUGGCUGCCCACUUUCUACAAUUCUCACCAAACUUUCUUCCUCAUCGCAAUUCCUUGCUGCCAACAGGUGCGACCACCCGCCAAGGAGCAGACAGCCUCCUCAACGGGAGCACUCAAGGGCCCAGUGGAACCUCCUCGGCUGCCAAUGGCAUUUCCGGAAAUCCCAACCAAGGUAAUUCUGGAGCCAAGAGCUUACACCCCUACUUCUCCGGGCCCUACUCAGGGUCACCCUUGUCAACCCAUUGCUCCAAACAAAGUGCUCCAAACACACAGGCACGCUCCGUAGGCACCUGCAUUUUUGCAGGCAAGGCUAGAGCUCCCUGCCAUGCAAGAUACCCAACAAUUUUCCCCAGCCACCUUUUCCCCCACUCAUUUUGCCCAUCCAAUGGGCCUUACCUAAACACUGGGUUCCCCACUUGGCCAUUUCCCAGGACCAGUCACAUCCACAGGAGCCAGUGGGACAGGCAGAGCUGA
ensembl:lncRNA